rnacentral:rRNA from 1 species
GACGAACGCUGGCGGCGUGCCUAACACAUGCAAGUCGAGCGAAAGGACGCGACGCUUGUUUCGUUGAUGUUUGCGGAGCACGGGAGUGAAACAUGUGGAUAAUCUACCUAUAUGUCUGGGAAAACUUCGGGAAACGGGAGCUUACCCGGGAUAAUCUUCUGCUGCGUAUGGUUGAAAGGAAAAAGUCGGCGUUGGUGUAACUACUAGCUGGUUAUCAGCUUGAUUGGGUGGUUGGUAAGGUAAAGGCUUAUGAAGGUAACGAUGCAUAGCCGACCUGCGGGGGGGGUCGGCCGCACGGGAGCGGGGACACGGACCAGACUCCUGCGGGAGGCAGCAGUAGGGAAUCUUCCGCAAUGGGCGAAAGCCUGACGGAGCGGCGCCGCGUGAGUGAUGAAGGUCUUCGGAUCGUAAAACUCUGUUAUUAGGGAAGAACAGAUGUGUAAGUAACUGUACACAUCGUGACGGUACCUAAUCAGAAAGCCACGGCUAACUACGUG